rnacentral:rRNA from 1 species
CUACGGGUCGCUCCAGUGGGGAAUAUUGGGCAAUGGGCGAAAGCCUGACCCAGCAACGCCGCGUGAAGGAAGAAGGUUUUCGGAUCGUAAACUUCUAUCCUAGGUGAAGAUAAUGACGGUAGCCUAGAAGGAAGCCCCGGCUAACUACGUGCCAGCAGCCGCGGUAAUACGUAGGGGGCAAGCGUUGUCCGGAAUGAUUGGGCGUAAAGGGCGCGUAGGCGGCCUUUUAAGUCCGAUGUGAAAGUCCUGCUUUUAAGGUGGGAAUUGCAUUGGAAACUGGAAGGCUUGAGUGCAGGAGAGGUAAGUGGAAUUCCCGGUGUAGCGGUGAAAUGCGUAGAGAUCGGGAGGAACACCAGUGGCGAAGGCGACUUACUGGACUGUAACUGACGCUGAGGCGCGAAAGUGUGGGGAGCAAACAGGAUUAGAUACCCCGGUAGUC